UAUUCUCACUAGCACGCAAGUAAAUCACCCAUGGCUUUUGCAUAACAACGUGACAGUGAAGUAUUGCUGGGAAACAACGCUGACAUACUUUCACAGGAGUGAGAAGCUAACCAAACGUACCUGUGCAAAGGCCGGCUUCUUUUUACAUUUAAAACUGUCUAGUGGAAGUAUAUUGCAGGUCCUGGCCAGCGCUUACUGUUCGCACAACUACAUGUGUCAUUCGCAAAAGCAGCUUUAGCACAUUUAUUUCAAGACAAAUCCUCAUGGGCUGCAAGCUUGUGUUUUGUGUAAGUAGAAGGUCGAGACGUCCGCACAAGAUCUUUGACUCCCCUUUCCAUUAGAUUUUUUUGCAAGUGUUUUGAAAUGUACUAGUAAGCAAGCUCUAAUGGACCCUCUGCUUAAUGAUUUUGCAGUGUGGUCAGAAGCUAACAUCUCUCACUAAAAAUUAAUCUGUCAAGUAAACUGUCAUUAAGGAACUUAAGCCCUGCUGCCUUCCAGAGUCCGUUUUUACGACAAUGUAUAGACGCAUCCAACGCAUGCAAAAAUUUAUUUCGUUUAAAAUUUGUCCAAUGCAUUGACUGUUUUGGUUUUCUUGGCUCUUGUAUUCAUACCUAAAAUCUUUCUUGAAAACCAUAAACUAAGCUGAUGACAGUGAGACUAUUAGAUUGAAAUAAUUUGGCGAUUUAUUAUAUUACGUGUUCUCGCACUACGAAAAUUUUACUUGUUUUAUUGUGGUGGCUUCAUGUUUUCAAGGGCAGUCCUUCAUCCACUUGGAAGACGUCUGUUAUGACUCCCACUGUUCUGUAUUUAAAGCUGUGGAAUUUUUUGAGUGUGGUGUGACAAACGCAUCUGCGCGAGCAAUGAAAGGAAAUGUGAGAUGCAGGUUUUAGGCAUAUUAACACGCGCACUUGCAUAUCUUCUUCUUGUGAAUGCGUUUCACCGGCUUACAAUCGCCUGUUACCACUCAGUGCAUGACGCGCCUGCAUGCAUCAGAUGAUUCUCGAGGUUUCUUGUUGAUUAUAUAUUUUUUCUACGUUCUAGUCAAACCUUGUAUAAUCAGAUUGCACGCGCGACGCUGAUACAGUCCUGCAUUCUGGAAGGCAUGCAAGCACCAAGGAUUGCGUUGGAAUCUUCGAUGAUUCAUGCGACGUUCGUUAGGCGUAAAUCACUUGUUGGAUGAUCGACGCUUGUGCCCAUAACUAUCUUUCUGUCCGAGUGCAACUUGUUUUGUGGGUUCACGUUCGCCCAAUAAAGAGUAUUUCGGGGCA